ACGAGAACCCACCCCCCGGAAACCUGCCUACCACUCGUACGCAAGGAACUACUGCCUUCGAAGUUCUCGGUGUCGAUUUCGCGGGUCCGAUCCGGUAUCGGACAAAAGGAAAAACCUCAAAGAAAGCGUAUUUGGUUCUGUACGGAUGUAGUCUUACGAGGGCUGUUCAUUUGGAAGUACUACAAUCACUUGAACUGAACGAUUUCCUAUCCAGUCUCAAGCGAUUCAUUGCACGGCGCGGAAGACCAAGGCUGAUAUACUCGGAUAACGGUGCAACGUUUAAGGCAGCAGAGAAAUGGCUGAAGCGAGUUCAACGUGACGAACAGUUUAAUUCCUUCCUCACAGAUCGCACAAUCGAAUGGAAAUUUAACCUAAGUCGAGCCCCCCCUGGUGGGGAGGGCAAUACGAACGACUCAUUGGGUUGUUCAAACGUGCAUUCCACAAGUUGAUUGGUAAUGGU